GCGCCUGUAGCUCAAUGGAUAGAGCACCUGGCUUCGGACCAGGGGGUUGGGGGUUCGACUCCCUUCAGGCGCG
rnacentral:tRNA from 11 species